rnacentral:rRNA from 1 species
GAUCAUGGCUCAGGAUGAACGCUGGCGGCGUGCUUAACACAUGCAAGUCGAGCGAAGCAAUUUAAGUGAAGUUUUCGGAUGGAUCUUAGAUUGACUGAGCGGCGGACGAGUGAGUAACGCGUGGAUAACCUGCCUCACACAGGGGGAUAACAGUUAGAAAUGACUGCUAAUACCGCAUAAGCGCACAGUACCGCAUGGUAUAGUGUGAAAAACUCCGUGGU